CCCUGUAGCUCAGCGGUAGAGCGGGUGACUGUUAAUCACUAGGUCGUUGGUUCGAGCCCAACCGGGG
rnacentral:tRNA from 1 species